GGUUGUGUAGUGUAGCGGUUAGCACUUUGGAUUUUGAAGAGGACAUCCUCUCAUUUCCAACAACCCCGGUUCGAACCCGGGCACGACCU